AACAAAAAGAGCUAAUUGGCAGGGGCUAGUGGAACUAGGAGCUUUCUGGAAACACGGAGUGUAAAGUCAUCUGAGUCAUUUUCGUAUAUAAAAUUUGCAGAAGAAAAGCUAUCGUCGCAGCCAAAAUCCGUCACCUUUUCCCGUUUCUGUUGCUCUUCGUGGAAGAAAUCAAUUUCCUGACAAAGCGAUGCUGAUCGAAGAAGAAGAGACAGAAAAGCAUAGCGAUUUGAAUCCCCCGAAACCCUCGUCUUCCACCAACAGAAAUGCCUCCGAUGGCUUCGAAACUGCCAGUGACGGAGAACUCGGAUCCAACGGUAGCGACAACGACGAUGAAACCCAACAACAAGAGGAACAGCAAAGUCUCUCUCAGGCUGACGACAUCGCAUUGAAACAGCAGAAAGCGUUUGAACAAGCAAAUGAUGUGAAAAUGGAAGGCAAUAGACUGUUUGGCAGUGGGCAAUAUGAAGAGGCAUUAUCACAGUAUGGGCUUGCUUUACACAUUGCGCCUGACAUGCCAUCAUCUGUGGAAUUACGCUCAAUAUGUCACGCAAACAGUGCAAUAUGUUUUUCAAAAUUGGGAAAAUAUGAGGAUGCAAUCAAGGAAUGCACAAAAGCGCUAGAACUAAAUCCUUCAUAUAUGAAAGCUCUGCUUAGAAGAGCAGAAGCACAUGAAAAACUAGAGCAUUUCGAAGAGGCUAUUGCUGAUAUGAAAAAAAUCUUGGAACUCGAUCCCUCAAAUGACCAAGCCAAGAAGACCAUUCGUCGCCUGGGGCCGCUGGCUGAAGAAAAGAGAGAAAAGAUGAAAGAGGAGAUGAUUGGGAAGCUGAAAGAUAUGGGUAACUCUUUGUUGGGCCGUUUUGGAAUGAGCGUGGACAACUUCAAAUCUGUUAAAGAUCCAAACACUGGCUCUUAUUCUAUUUCAUUCCAACGUUAGUGUGGUUGUGGUCAUAUUCUACAACAAUGUGGGAAAAAUCAGGGUGGUGAUCUGAAGGAGUAUGGACUUUGUCAUGUAUGCAGGAUUGAUCUCCCCAUCUUCAUCUCCACACUCUACCCAUAUUGUCCUUAUUUGUUACAUGGGUAUUGGAAGCUUCCUGACUUCUAGAGGAAGAGAAAAGUUGUCUCAUCCUCCAAAUCACUUGCUUGGGCUCUCUAAAGCUGCUCUCCACUCUCUCAGCUACAGUGAGGAUGGGAAAAGAAUGUGGGAAGUUCAUCAAAAGCGAGAUGGAGAGGGAGGUUGAUGUAAGAAAACACCACUGUAGUCUUCAUUAUCAUGGAGCACAAGAGAGAUGGAAGCAUUGAGAAACACCACAAGAUUAAUGAAUGCAUCUAAUUACACAUUUUUUGUGUGGUAAAGAUCUAUUUAAACAUUUUGAUAUUGAACACUUUUUGUAUAUUUGUUAUGAGAUAGGAGAAGGCAAAGGUACAUUUUCCGGGUAGGUACCGUAAGCUUCUAUCAAUAAUGUUGUACUAUUGAACCAUAUCAAGACAUUUUUACGAUUGAAACAA